CCUGCCGGGUCACGCCUAUUGUCCUGGCUGUGUGGACACAACUAUGGCAUUCUCUCCCCAUGAUGUAGUGGUGUGGAACACACGUCCUGCUGGCCCCGCUCAUCGGCCCCGAAAGGACCAGAGGUGAGAGAGCGUGAAAGGACGAGGUUUAGGAUACCAGAUAGACAUCCGUGCAGAACCAGAGUUUGGAGCACAUUGUGGCUCCUGUCUGUCUGCCAUCCAAAAAGACGCAAGAAUGCAUUCAAUGGGAUUUACCUGUUUACAUUUGACCAUGUCUCAUGGAAGCAAAUUAGCUAGGGGCUGUCUGAGACUUGUGGUGAUGAUCAUACAGAUGAGGGAGACAGAAGACUGAAGGAGGGAACGUUUCAAUCGCUCAACGGAGCAAUAAGGGUAAAAGGCCCCGGGUGGGGGUACACACCCCACCCAACGCACCUCCAGGUCCCCAGCAUCCACCCCAGAGAGCCACGCAGAGCCUCUAACCCAGCGGCAGGCACGGUGACGGAGGGGCCCCAGCGACCACCAGCAAUGUGUAACGCCAAAUGAAACCAGUCCAAUUACAGCUGGUACACAAGCCAGGUGAUUUGGUGGUGACGGAGAUGCAGCGUUCAAGACGGAUCUGAACAUCCCUGCUACAGCAGUGAAUGAGAUAAUAACAGCGCACGGCAGAAGCCGUCGGAUUACAGAGUGGGCUGAUCGCAAUAUUUUUCCACGGAGCCACGGGGGGC
ensembl:lncRNA